rnacentral:lncRNA from 1 species
GAAAAAUCGGUCAAUAGUAAUAUGCGUUUUAGACUGAUCUAGUUGUUUUGCAGCAUGUUUUCUUUUUUGCAGAUAUUAUUCUGUCGCUUUGGCCAGAAUGUUUUUCUUUUUUGCAGGUAUUAUUCUGUCGCUUCGGCCAGAAUAAGACUCUAAUAGUGAGUCCAACUAUCUUGUCGCUUUUUGCCUUGAUAGACUAGAGAUCGUUCUGUCGCUUUGGCCUUAACAAUCUCAACCCAUCUUGUCGCUUUAAGCCUUGAAGGGGGCCGUCGUUGCGGACUUUAAGUCGCUUUUGAUCAGAGUGGACUAUAAACAUUAGUUCUAUUGCUUCGGCUAGAACUUGGUUCUAUCGCUCUGGUCAGAACCCGAUUCUGUCGCUCCGGCCUGAAUCAGAUUCCGUCGCUGUGGCCGGAAUUUAUCUUGUCGCUUCGGCCUCGAUAAACACAGUGCAGUCGCCCUUGAUCAGAGAAGGACUAUAAACAGAGUUACCGUGACCUGGAACUCGAUCCAUUCUUGACGCUUUGGCCUUAAUGGAUUCAGAAUGAUUACGUCACUGUGGGCGGAUGAUUCGAUCUCAUCUUGUCGCUUUGGCCUUGGUGCUGGAUCACACACAUUGAACCUUGGUUGGGGGAGGGGGUACUAGCGAUACACGCAUGUUUCUUGUGCUCUCUUCAGGGGGGAGUACUGGUGAGACAUGCCUGAUUACGGCAGUCACUCCCAGCAACGCCUUUCAACAAGGACUAGGGCUCCGUCGCUAUGGCAGGACCCCCGGAGAUCUCCCACGGUGCGGAACACGUUCAUCGUCCAGAUCGCCGAGUUAGCCCGUAAGUCGCCUGAUUGGACUACCAAGUCGCCGACAUAAAGGAUAACUCGUCGAGUUAAGGCAAGAUCGGCAGUAUGGUAGACUGCACAUCUUGGCCCUAGAAACUCGGCGAGUUAGCCCUAACUAGGCGACUUCCAUACCUGAAUCGGCGACUUACGACCAUUACUCGCCGCCAGCCAACGUCAUAAAUGUUACCAUAUAUGACCAUAGGCGCGAUGUCCGCCUUUGAUUGCGCCCUCCGAGAUCCUAUAAAAAGGGUCUCAAGGGGACACUCAAAGGCACGAUUCAAGUUCCUCUCUCACACCAGAGCAUCACUACGAAACUCGCCGAUUCUCACUAGAAUCGCCUAGUUUCCACUUGCAGGUAUUUGACGUAGAGCGUGCGUCGUGGACU